rnacentral:rRNA from 1 species
CAGUAGCCACGGGAAUACGGAGGGCGCGAGCGUUGCCCGGAUUUACUGGGCGUAAAGGGCGUGUAGGCGGCCUGGGGCGUCCCAUGUGAAAGGCCACGGCUCAACCGUGGAGGAGCGUGGGAUACGCUCAGGCUAGAGGGUGGGAGAGGGUGGUGGAAUUCCCGGAGUAGCGGUGAAAUGCGCAGAUACCGGGAGGAACGCCGAUGGCGAAGGCAGCCACCUGGUCCACUUCUGACGCUGAGGCGCGAAAGCGUGGGGAGCAAACCGGAUUAGAUACCCGGGUAGUCCCUGUCUCUUAUAC